rnacentral:rRNA from 1 species
UACAGAGGGGGCAAGCGUUGUUCGGAAUUACUGGGCGUAAAGGGUGCGUAGGCGGCCCUCUAAGUCAGACGUGAAAUCCCUCGGCUCAACCGGGGAACUGCGUCUGAGACUGGAAGGCUUGAAUUCGGGAGAGGGAUGUGGAAUUCCAGGUGUAGCGGUGAAAUGCGUAGAUAUCUGGAGGAACACCGGUGGCGAAGGCGGCAUCCUGGACCGAGAUUGACGCUGAUGCGCGAAAGCCAGGGGAGCAAACGGG